ACUAAUAAAUAUUUUACUUCAAUUUAUUAAAACUUAACAUAUCUACACUGAAGAAAAAGUCAUAGCUUCAUCCUUAAUUCAUGAGAUCCAGGAUAUAAAUUCUCUUUUGUAGUUUCCCUAAUAAAAAAGUACCAUAGUUUAUACAUAUCCAGAGUUUAACUGUGAUUUCUAUUUAAUGUAAUACAUAGUAGAUUGAGUGCUGUUAUCAUCUUUGUCCACUAGAUGGCACAACAAGAUUUUCAAUGCAGUUUUGAGCCUGAGUGAUGUGUUUUAUAGUUUAUAUUCAGAGCAUAUCUGUGAUGUAUUGAGGCCAUUGAGUGAUUUAUAAACACGUAACAGACUUUAAAAUCAACUCUAAUGAAGUCAGUGUGGACCUGAGGACUGGUGUGAUAUGAUCAUGUUUUCUGCUUCUGUUCUGUAUGAGCUGCAGAUGUCUGAUGGUGUUUCUGGAGUCCAUUACAAUAAUCCACCCUGCUGGAGAUGAAACAUGAACAAGUUUCUCUGAGUCUUGACUGGAAACAAACCAUCUAAUUCUUGAGAUGAUAAUAUGCUGAUUUAGUUAAUGCUUUGACAUGACUACUGAAACUCAGUUCUCCAGAAUCACACCAAAAAUCACACCAGUUCAGUAUUGAGCUCGUAUCUGUAGAAGUCAUUAAUGAGCUGCUGAUGGAGAUCAGGUGUUUAAUGAGAGAUGUUUAACUGUGCAGCUGCUGGAGUUUAUCAUGAAGAGACGCUGAAACAAACCUGUAGAUCCAGAUCUGAAACACGAAACAAUUCAUCUCUCACAGCGAAAUGAUGUUUGAGACUCAUAAACAAUCAGAUGAAAGUUCAUCACAGAUCAUCACAAGUUUUGAAGAUUAUGGAGAUUUGAUAUGAAUCAUCAUCAUCAUCAUCAUCAUCCUCAGAUGAAUCCAGAAAUCUCUGAACGACACUUUACAGCUCCGACUGGAUCAACAGAGACUGAAAAUGAAGAAAAACAACCAGUUAUUAUCAUAAUUUAAAUACAGUGGCUGAACUGAUGAUUCAAAUAGAUUCACUCAUAUUACUGUUUUAAUAUGUGAAGUUUGUCAACUAUUAAAGCAUUUAAUACAUUAAUAAAAAUAGAUUGGUUUCACAUGGGUUUAUGGGUCACUGUAUAUAUGACUUAUGUAUAUAUAAUAACAGAUUAAUAAAACUGAUAUU